rnacentral:rRNA from 1 species
UACGUAGGGGGCAAGCGUUAUCCGGAAUUACUGGGCGUAAAGCGCACGCAGGCGGUUCGCCAAGUUUGGAGUGACAGUUGGCGGCUCAACCGACAAAGGACUUCAAAAACUGGUGAACUUGAGGACGAGAGAGGAACAUGGAACUCCAGGUGUAGUAGUGAAAUGCGUAGAUAUCUGGAAGAACACCAAUGGCGAAGGCAAUGUUCUGGCUCGUUUCUGACGCUCAGGUGCGAAAGCCAGGGGAGCGAACGGG